AACGACUCUCGGCAACGGAUAUCUCGGCUCUCGCAUCGAUGAAGAACGUAGCGAAAUGCGAAAGAUGGUGUGAAUAGCAGAAUCCCGUGAACCAUCGAGUCUUUGAACGCAAGUUGCGCCCCAAGCCUUCUGGCCGAGAGCACGUCUGCCUGGGUGUCACG
rnacentral:rRNA from 1 species